rnacentral:tRNA from 1 species
AUUAUCUUGGCAGAUUAGUGUAUUAAGUUUAGAACUUAAAAAAUGUAAUAUUAUUUACAGGUAAUA